CGUGGACCGAUGCGAGCCGCGCUUCUCGUGCUUAUUAAAUUCGUCGGCGACGUUGGGCUCUCGUUUCCGCCCUAAUAAAUUAUCCCGCUUGCUUCCUCCGCCAGUGAAGAGCAGGAGCGAGAGGGUUUCGCUAGUGCACCGACGGUCGAAUGAGAUUUCAGAGAUGGCGUGCUAGCAACGUUGACUUGGUUUUUGACUGGGAGAAGACUCUUUGCUCCACGGAGAAGCUUCCGUUCGAUCUUGCACACACUAAAACGAGUCAACAAAAUGUCAGCGCCCAGAAACCAGGGGAGUUCCUGGCGAAGGUCUUCCAAUGCUCAAGUCAGUACAAAUUCCGGACGGGUGAAUGAAGACGGGUGAAUGAAGAAUAGUAGAGAAUGUUCACGCGAGAGUAAGCUUAAGAUAUUGAAAAAAUGUACUUUGCCAACGGAGAUGACCCCUUUAUAUACCACAUUUCAUAAUCUUCAUAAUCAUGAGAUGCCAAAGAAUGUCAGAGGUUGUUGGGUAAUGGGUAGUGUACAACUUGUCCAAUAAUUGUUCGAGAAAUCUUCCAUUACCCACAUGUGUAUCUCUUUUGUCAUUUAUAGCUUAUAUCAUUGAUGAGGCAAUUAAAGGAAUAUGUUGUUAUAAGUGGUCGGCUUAUGAGAAACAUGAUAAUCCUCGAGGAAGGUUCAAAAAAAAUAUUCUCUAACAUAUGGUUGUUAUUCUGACAAGUUGUUAGGAUUCUCUAAUCAUGUUGUCUGCUGGGUAUAUUUCGAUCGACCUGCCCUUGCAUUAAGCUGCUUGACUUUGUACUAAAUGGCGUUAGCAAUCUAUUCGGAGAAUAAUAUAAUGCCUUGGUCAUGCUGGAAAUCCAUUUGAGAAGCAAUAUGACAACCUAUACGUGCUAAAAAUCCAUCCAGGAAGUAAUAUGAAGCUAAGUGCCUAAGAACCGGUCGUCCUUUUAUCCGGCUAGGUGUGUAAGUGCCUCAAGCCCGGGUUAUGGGGCCACCAAAACUCGUCCAAUUAUAUUAUUGAACGGAUACACAAGCAUAUUGUCAUAUGAAAACCUAGUAAUAGGAUCGACCGGUUGUGUAUAGAGAGGCUUGUACAAAGCAAGGAGUCUUGACCUUUCCCUCGACCAGACCUAUGGUCGAUCGAUUGCGUGGUGGGUCGGACAUCUCUUAAACUCGGUUGGCUAUUACAUGACCAGACAUGCUAGCUUCCUAAUUCAAGAGUAAAACAUCAAACCCCCUAUGCUCGAUCGGUUUAAGGGUCGAACGGUCCUAUUCCGAACGACUUGUAAUCCGGUUGGGUUGGCCUUGCGAGUUUUAGUGCUAGGUGAAUAACAAAGCCGAUUGGGGAAUACUUCUUUCUCUUGACUUUGACCACCACGUCACUUUAACUUUGAUCUCAACAUCAUCUUCUGUGUCUGCUCGUUACAUCCCAUAUUACUAACCUCUCGUCUAGUCGAAGGAGGUGUAGCCGACUGACUGGACCCAAGUCCGAUUUUUGUCCGUUCACCCCUUUGACUAGGGUUGUUCGGAGAUUCGUGUUUUCAUUUGCGCCUGGGCACUUAGUGAUAUUUUUUAAAAAUUGUCUGUUAGCGGUCCUCUAUUUAGAAGAGAGUACCGAGGAUGCGCGGAGAGGCGCUUUGGCUGUAUAAUGAUGUAGUUGUCACCUCCAUCAUAAAUGCUCUUUUAUGGGCGAAUGUCACGUGGCUCCACUCCUCGUUCUUUGAAAUGUCAUCUGACGCAUGCUUCUUCGUAUGGAUCAAUGACACCUCUCUCCUACAAAUCAACGAUCCUCUGUGUCUGCUAUUUUGAUCUAACGACUGUAAUGGCUAUAAUCAGGUUGUAAUCUACAAAAACCCUAUACGACACCAACUCCUAACACUUUGCGCUUCGUCUUCCUCCUCGACGAUUUUCCUUUGCAAACCUCUUUUUUUUCACGCCCUAAGUGGUCUAGUAAGUUGCUCGUUCCCUUUUUUAUCUACGUUAUCCUAUGGCUUAAGAAUCUUUCACUUUCUGGUAUACUCUUACUUGCUUAGACUUUGAUAACUCUGAUAGAGUUUCCAUCCACCUUCGGUUUAAAAUCCCGAAGAGUUAUCAUAUUGUUAUUCUUGCCCCAGACGCUCGUCCUCAUCGUCCUCCUUCUAACCAUAUUACUUUCUUUAAGGAUCUGUUAGCGGCCGACCUACGUUUUCUCGUCCCUUUGUUUAUGUUGGAGGCGAGUCGAUAUUUCAAUAUUCCUCUAUAACAGUUUUCUCUGAAUGCAUUCCGCACUAUGUGCAACAUGUUCAUGCUAUUUCACUUGUAUGACAUUCCUCCGAUUCACAAUCUUUAUUUGUUCUCUUACCCUAAGAAAUUAGAGCCCGUGGUCUGCCUUUUUCAAUCUAGCCUGAUGACGGUUUUCUUCGAGGACAUGCCUUCCUCGAACAAUGGUUGGAAAUCUCGGUUUAUCUCUAUUGAGAUGCCUGAGCCAGUCACCUGGUCAACCGAAUUGCAAUCUUCCCUUCCUCCGCUAAGUGCGACCUAGCCUUUAUUUCAUAUGCCACUAAGCUGAGCGGCCAAUGCUUUAAAAUCCACAAGUGGCUACGUGAAGGCCUAUUUUACUUGUUUGGCUUGAGCCACAUUCGGACAAAGCUGUCAUGCUCUUUUCGUAAGUUUUGGUAACUUGGUCAUUAUGUUAUUACUAACUAAGAUAUUUCUUAUUUUAUGCGGUGAACGUCAUUUUUGAAUCUCUGGUCGUUGACGAGAUUAAUUUGGGGGAAGAGCUCCUUGCUCAGGAGUGGGCACUGUUAGCUGAGUGGGCUUCCCAACCAGCCAUUCCUGAGUGGGCUUCCCAACCAGCCAUCCCUUCCAGCGGGGCUUCUGGCAGCCGGACGACUAAAUCCACCACGGCCACUGCUUUUGGAGACUUCUGAAACCCAACUCUGCUUGGAAGUAACUCGCCGAGCGAAAAUGAGAGUGGAUUUAGACGAAAAAACUGUAGAGGUCGAGCAUCUUUCCGCUCAGAUGAAGGAACUAAAAACUAUACAUGUCUCUGAGUUGGCUACUAAAGAAUCUGAGCUAGCGGCUCAAAAAACUGAGUGGGAUUCUCUACGUUCGGACUUAGACCGACCAGACUAUUCUAUCUACUAAAGAAUCCGAGCUGGCGAAUCUCUGCUGAAUUAACAGUUGCCCAGGCGGCGUUGGAUGCCUACCAAGCGGGAGAAUGCGAGCGAUUUGAAAUAUGGAAAAAAGCUGUCCUCCAAUCACAUGAUUUCAAUGCAUCGAGUGCUAGCUCUAUCAAUAAAGCUCUUCUUCUUGGAGCUGAUGGUGUCGUGGAACAACUAAAGGAGGGAGGGUAUCUGGCUUCCGAAUCCCCUACUCACUUCGCAAGAGAUUGCUCUAAAAUCGCUCGCGUGACUUAUUUUUUAAUUUACUGUGAUUUGCCUUGUCUUCCUUUCUUCUUUUGGUUAAUGAAUAAGAACUCAAUGCUUGUGUCCGCUGUACAGUUAAGUUUCUAUUGAAUUAGUCAUUUGUCUUUACUCUUGAUCCUGUCUGGAAGCUGAGAAGACGAACCUGCCGGUAUGACGUGUCUAGAGGGUUGACCGCAUCCUCUUGACCCGGUGGUGAGCUGUCCUCUACGUUGACCAGAUCGUCUGAAGUCCUCCGGUCAACUGUACCUGUAUCCAGCGACCGGGUCGCCCCGGCCUCUGGUACCUCGGUGCUCGAGGCGAAUCCCACAGAUAUAUGAGCAAUCGAAUACUAAUGACAAAAUAGUUAACUAAAUGCAGAAAAGGUACGAGAACGUACCCUGGCCCAGGGGGGCGCCCUCGGAUGGAUGGAUGAGCUGGUCGUGGUGCUGAUCAAGUCGUCGCGGUCGUGACAAGUAGAUGGGUGUGAACCCGCUGAGAAGUCAAAUCUAAUGGUGGCGGCACGGAAUCCGAUGCAGGCCGAUGGUGGGAACCUCCUCGACUCGAUGAUCGAGCACUAUCCCAACUCGAAGAUCGGAAUAAACAAAUCUGAGUCCGUCCGAUGAUGGCUGUCCCGUGGGUGAAGGAGGCAGAUACGGGAAUCAAUGGCGACGCCCACAGCCGCCUACGACCGCAGGCGGUGACAAUAGUGGUGGAGGAUGCCGCUGACCGCUGGGGAAAGCGGCGACGUCCGCCGGAAGCGCCGGCGAUAGCUGGAAGGGGCAAGGGCGGAAGCAUGAGCAGGCGGCGGAACCCACCAGCUGUGGCGUGUGGAGACGGGUCGGCCAGGGAGGUGUGCGGCGAUGGCCAGAGGUGUCGUCAACGACUGGAGGCGUCGUUGGCGACCGCCGGAGCUGUAGACGGCGUCGAACGCUGGAGGUGAUGGCCAUCAAAGACGGCUGUGGCCGUGGCUACACGGGACGAUGGCACUGGUGGCCGGAGACGGCUGCGACAGUGGCUGCAGCGAGAGGUGUCGGCGUCGGCAGCCUCUGGAGCCCGGCGAUGCUCCAAGGGGGCCAUCGGCGGAGAAGACCGGAGAAGAGAGGGGUGGUGGCGAUUUCAACAGUGCCUCUUGUGUCGCGGUGGUUGCGGCUCGAAGAACACCCCGUGCCCUUCAUCUCUCCCUUCCUCUCCUUGAUCUCUGCCGCCGCCUCUCCAAAAAUUCCCUCUCCGCGGUGGUGGCGGCGUCCAACAAACCCGAAGCAGCCCCCCUUCUUCACGAACCAACCCUCUUCCCUUUAAAGCCCUAGCUUGUAAAAAGACCUAAAUGCCCCUGUCUUUUCCUCCUAAUUUCCUCUCUGCCACUCAAUUAUAUCCGGAUCACAAGCCUCCCCUUCAAGUCUAGUCGAAGGAGGCGUGAGUCCGACUGACUGGACAGUCUAUUGCAAAGAAUUGAACCGCUCUCGAUGUCAAAGCUAAAUCGCUGAACCAAUAAUAUAAUGUCGCUCGAGCGGUCGCUAUAAUAGUGGUGUCGUAGGAGAUGGUAACGGUACCGAGCGGACCAAGUCUGCAAUCGGACCAAUGCCGAGUGCGCAGCCGCGAAGAUACCGACCGGACGAUCAAAGCGAUGCCGAUCAGGUGGAUAGACGCCGAGCAGAAGAUGCUGAGCGAAUGACAACGUCAAGCGAGUGCCAAAACAACAAGCAAGCGACGAGUGCCAUGAUAGCAGACAGAGCGGCACGAUGGACCAUGAAUAGACCGAGUGGACAAGCGAUGCUGAGUGCACGACCGCGGAGAUGCCGGAUGAGAAACAAAAACAUCUCUGCGAGCGAUGACGAUGCCGGGCACACAACAACGAAGAUGCUGAGCGAGCGAUCGGAAUGAUGUCGAUCGGACGGAUAGAUGCGGAGCGGGCGAUGCCGCGCGUGCGACCGAAAUGAUGUCGAUCGGUCGGAUAAA